rnacentral:misc_RNA from 1 species
AACCAGUCACACAAGCAAUUAGUGUGUAUAUUGCUCCGUUGACUCCGCAAGCUGAUGAUCCCUUGUCCACAAUCUCAGCAAUUUGCCCGAAGGUGACGCAGGGGCACCAAAAUGUUUUGCAACAGUUUCGCCAAUCGGAAAAGCAGUCGCAUAAGCCAGAGGACCAUGGGUCCCUCUUCUUGGAUUCAAGAUAGGUUUCUGAUCGAGAAUUGUCACUACUGUAGUACUGGUUUGUUGAGCUCACCGGA